UGGGCAUGAUGGUGCAUGCCUGUAAUCCCAGUUACUUGUUAAGCUGAGGCAGGAGAAGUGCUUGAGCCUGGCAGGCAGAGGUUGCAGUGAGCCGAGAUCACGCCAUUGCACUCCAGCCUGGGUAAUAAGAGUGAAAUUCCAUCUCAACAAAAAUAAUAAAAUAAAUUAAAAUUAAAAACCUAUAAUCAAACAUGUGACUUCCAGGCAGGUUUCUCAACCUCUGCACUCAUUUGGGGCCGGAUCAUUCUCUGUUGUGGGGACCGAGUGCUGGAGGUUAUCUUCCAGCAUCCCUGGCCUCCCCCGACUACCUGACUAGAUGCCAGCUGCACACCCCCACCCCCCACCCCAUGACAAGCUAAACUGAUGCCCCGGGGCAGGAUCCAGCACUCCGGUGGAGAACAUGGCUCAGUGGAUAGUCGGUUCCCGUUGCGUUUUGCCUCCUGUCUUCUGGUUUUGGCCUCUCUGGCUGCAGACCAGGAGCUCUGCACCUGAGAUUCUACCGCUAUGCCUAUUUUACAGAGAGGAGCUGGGGGAAGACGGGGGUCCGGGAAGGGCCAGGCUGGAGGGCUGUUUCCCCAGAGCCCACUUGGAGGGAGCUGGCUGGGCAGAUCUGACCAGCCCUGCGCCAGGCCCCGAGGAGCAGUCAGGGGACUCAGGGAGUCACAGCACAACGGCAGCUCCUCGGUCCCAGACGGAGGAGGGGGACAGCAACCAUGCGCCCAGCAAGACACAAGCGAUGACACCGAUUUACACACACCCGGUUUAGACGCCAAAGCUCUGCGGGGGAGGAGCGGCCCUCAAGAGUCCUCCGGGAGCUCCGGGUGAGGGUGGGGCCCUAGGAGGGGGCCCCGCGCAGCUGCUCCAGGCCGUCCGCGUACUGGAAGGCCCGCCCGGUCUCGUGCUCAUACAUGUCCAGAGCCACCUCGCAGCUCUCACGCACCACGCGCUCUGGGUCGUCCGCGUGAGCCUGCAGCGCGGCCAGGCAGGCGGGCCGGGCAAUGGCGCCCAGGGCCUCCGCGCACUCGUGCCGCACCAUGGGGUUCUCGGUGCAUCGGGCCAGGGCGGCCGCCAGCUGGGGCACCGCCGCCUCGUGCUGCAGCUGUCCCAGGACGUAGCCGACCUCGUGGCG
rnacentral:lncRNA from 1 species